rnacentral:rRNA from 1 species
CUACGAAGGGGGCUAGCGUUGUUCGGAAUCACUGGGCGUAAAGCGCGCGUAGGUGGAUCAAUUAGUUGAGGGUGAAAUCCCGGGGCUCAACCUCGGAACUGCCUUCAAUACUGUUGAUCUUGAGACCGAGAGAGGUGAGUGGAAUUCCUAGUGUAGAGGUGAAAUUCGUAGAUAUUAGGAAGAACACCAGUGGCGAAGGCGGCUCACUGGCUCGGUACUGACGCUGAGGUGCGAAAGCGUGGGGAGCAAACAGGAGUAGAUACCCUAGUAGUCC